UUCACACCGAACCGUUUGGUCCUGUUUUGUCCGUUUUCUGUGGAGAUGGCAGCAACGCACCACCGCAGCGCGUUCCGCUGUUUUGGUUAUUUCUGCAGCAGCUGAUCCAGGAGGCGUUUUCGGAACACAGGCUCGACCACCUGGAUCUCGUCGCUCCUCCCACAGUCUCCCCGCUGCUCCGGUUCCUUAAAGUUGCCAUGGUAGAAGGAGGAAGGGGGUCCGUCUCAUCUCUGGCCAAUGCAAGCAUUGAGUUACGCAUUCAUGCAGAAUAAAGUAACUUUUUCAUAUUCUGAAUGACUUGAAGACUGGAAAAACACGGAACGGAUAUUUGGAAGCUGCUGACUGACCAGGGAGUCAAAUUGUAUUUAAAAUAGAUAAAUACGUUUUUUGUUUGAAUUCUAUACUCUGAUUCAGUAGUGGAAGAAGUAUAAUAGAUACUUUACUUGAGUAAGUAGCAAUAUAAAAAUGUAAAGUCUCCUUGAGUAAAAAUCUCAUGAGUAGAAGCAUUCUCAACUAAAUUAAAAUAAAAAAAAUAAAAGUACCUAAAUCUCGCCUGCCAAUGUUAUAUAAUUAUAUAAGAUAUCAUUUGGAUUAUUAUUACUCGUACAAAAACAUGUACAGUAUAUGUACAAUCUUAAUCUGCAAAGUAACUAUAGCUGUCAUGGAAAUGGAGUAAAGUAAAAAGUUAAAUAUUUCACUCUGAAUUGUUAAUCGCCCUAAUAAUAUCUAAAUGUACAGUAGGCCUAUUACCAUUGCCAUGGGUAUUUCUGAUCUGUUGCACCAGGAAUCAAGGAAAGAUUAAGAGGAAAUCUAGGCCCAAUUUUUUUUCUUCUUUUUUUAAUCAAAAAUACAGAAAGACACACAGUCACCACAUAAAAAUCUAAAUCUAGCUCUUGUUUUUUCCCCAUUACAGUCAAACAAUGUGUAGAAGUAUUAAAAUUAGUUAUUUAGGUCAAAGCCUUUCUCUCCCGAAUCCUUCCAGCUUUCAGGGACUAAAACAAUUCUUCAGUCAGUUUGAAGUCCUUGACAUGAAAGCAACUGGAUGGUUUGUUUUAGUCUUAUCUUUUUGUUGAAAGCCAAUCCCGUAUUUACUACGGACAAAGACUGUUUGUUGAAUAAAAUAAAACCCAAAGUUUACAGUCAAGUCUGUGAGUUAGGCUACUCAUUUUUUUUCCUGUUUGAAGUAGAAACAUGAUUAUAAUGUGUUAUACAGAGAGAAGACAGGACUUUUUGGAGUUAGUUAUGUAUUUCAUUAGGAAAUGAAAUCUCCCCCGCGUCUCUAAGACCUCUGAUGCCAGAGGAAACAAAUGACACAUUAUGCUGGCGGGCAGACCUCUUAAAAUAGUUACAGUUUAGCGCCUGUUAAGACCACUCACCUGAUUCAAAGGUUCUUAAAUUCCCAUUUCAAUAUCUACAUUAAGUCAGCGGGGAAUGUGGAUUGUUAGAUGUGUAUGAACUUACAGGAAAAACCAAAAGAAGCACACUCAGACUGUUUUUGACAAUUUAACAUCUUUUCUGCCCAGAAAAGGUUUAGAGACAAGUUUUGUUUUACACAAGGUGUUAUGCAAUGUUCCCCUCAGUGUAUUAUCAAAAUCUAUACUGAAAACAAUGCUUAGCUCUAGAGCCCUGUUUCAGUUUGUGAUGUUACUUUGUGUGUCUUUGUGCAACAAGCUCUUUGUUUAGUAUUGUUCAUAAUUAAUUGCUUUUGUGUGGUUUGGUGUCAGCUCUUCAUUAGCACCAGCUGACACAAGCUAUGACUGGCUGUUAGGACGUGUCCAUCACCCGUCAACAGGCAGGCCAGUGACUUUUGACCUCUGAGGUCAUCAGUGGGUCAGCUGUUCAUUUGAGACACUUUCUGCUAUGUGUAUUCCCACAGUAUCUCUACAGUGGUUAUUUACAGUCUAAGUGGUAUGUAUAUGUAUGUGUAUGUGUAUGUCACCAAUCAAUCAUCUGGAUUGUUUUGCCCUAAAAUUACUGUUUGUUACAAAUUAGGAAUCCCUCACCUUAUUGGAACCCAUAGAUGUGGGAGGACAAACUGACACCAUUCACACCGCAUUAGGAUGAUGGAUGAGGAUGAAUUGUCUGCUAGAUACUGUUUAUACCAUAUAGCUUUAAAAUAUUUGUAAUCAAAAUACAGACGGUAAGAACCAACCAGCCAAAGCAAUUGCUCUAGGGCCCCAGACUGGGAUUUUUACCAUUCAAACUGCAUCUGAAACAUCCAUAUCCCUUUACCUCCCUGAACUGCGAAGAUAGCCCUUACCAAUCACUUACAAUGUUAGUUUUGUAUCAAGAGACACACAUGCACAAUAUGUAUAAACUGCUUAUGAAUGCUAAAUAAGGGGACUUAUCGUAAGUGUAACCUAAAGAGUCAGUAAGUGCCCAGGGGCCCAGAGGGUUAAUCAAGCCCUGUUUAUCAAUUAGAACAUGUCAUGAUGUGUGUCUGCAUGUACUGUAUGUGUGUUCUUAUACGUUAAUCUUAUGUCAGCUGUUCUGCUCAUUGAGACAUGAGGUCAGGUCCGACAGGGUCACGCAGUCAUGUGGGAACACAACUGGGAUUAUCCAACCUGCUUUAAUGUCUCACAUGGACACAUACUGUACAGUUUAGACUGGGCUUGAAGGAUGUGUAGGGCAGUGUGCUUCAUUUCUUAUUUGCUUAAUAGUACUUUUUAGAGAUAUUAUAACAACUAAGAAGAGGCAGAAAAUGCGGUGCAAAUGCAGUUCUUGUAGGUCACAGCAUCUUAUUAAUUUGAAAGUAGCUAUGUUGAGUGUUUUGUAUUAACAAUGGUUCACCAAAAAAUAAAUAACUAUUAUCAGGUUACAUAACUCUGUAUAUCACACUUAAUAUUUACAGUCCAUCAAGAUUUUUUACCUCUGAAUGUAAAGAAUUGUUUAAAUCUUUUUUUCACAAAGUGUUCAGUGCUGUCGUGGUUACUCAGCAAACGAAGAAGCCAGCUGAGAAUAACCUUUAUCAACAACUAUCUGACGAGAUACACAGGUCACAGGGUUCUCCUGCACAAAGCCACGGGACUGCAUCAAAACUGUUUAGCCAAGAACAGAGAU